CAUCUACCUAACCCUAGCAGUCGCGCGCUCCCGGGCUUCUCUCCCAGCCGCCGCCGCCGCCUCUCCCUUCCCUCACCUCGCUCCUCUCUGUCCUGACCAAGCAGCAACGGCUGAGCCCUGGCCGAGCCGCUCUCCCCCGACGCACCUGCACCGACCCUAGUGCCACUAUGAGAGUUCGGAGCGGAGGCCGAGCGGGACCGCGGGAGGGGGCGGCCGGGGUCCGGUCCGGGGAGGCGGGGACCAGGGCAACGCACAACGCGCCGGCGGUGACCAGUAGCCCGCUCUGACACCAGCUCCUCGCAUCGCAUCUCCCCUACUAGGCCUCCUCGUCCCGACAUGCAAUUGAAAAAGAGAUAGAUCUUUUUAUAGGCGAAGUGUUGAAGAUGGCUUUGGUGAAAGAAAUGUCUUGUUAGCAUCAAGUAAGUGGCGACAUCACAACCCCUACAAGCUUGUGCCUUAAAACAAGAGGAUACAAGAAGUUGGAGUGCUUUUAUGAAGGCUUUUGCGAAUCACUUGAAGCGUUAGUACUUUUGUGAAUGAUUUUGUAAAGUGUUUGCAAAUAUGUGCAAAACAUAAUAACAUGUGUAGGUUUUGUGAAUGAUUUUGUUGUGGUGCUUGUUGAUGGUUUAUGUGAUGUGGAUCUAUCAUUGUGCAAUACUAAUUAAAUUUGUAUAUCUAUGUGAUUAUGUGUAUAAAAAUUGGU
rnacentral:lncRNA from 1 species